GGCGAACGGGUGAGUAACACGUAGAUAAUCUGCCUUUCAGACGGGGAUAACUCAGGGAAACUUGUGCUAAUACCCGAUGAGACUACGAGGGGGGACCUUCGCAGCCAAAGGUGGGCGAAAGCUCACGCUGGAAGAUGAGUCUGCGUCCUAUCAGCUAGUUGGUGGGGUAAAAGCCUACCAAGGCGAAGACGGGUAGCCGGCCUGAGAGGGUGAACGGCCACACUGGGACUGAGACACGGCCCAGACUCCUACGGGAGGCAGCAGUGAGGAAUUUUCCGCAAUGGGCGCAAGCCUGACGGAGCGACGCCGCGUGAGGGAUGACGGCCUUCGGGUUGUAAACCUCUUUUAUUAAGGAAAAAGGCAAUCGUGCUAACACCACGGUUGUUUGAUGGUACUUAUUGAAUAAGCCCCGGCUAACUACGUGCCAGCAGCCGCGGUAAUACGUAGGGGGCGAGCGUUGUCCGGAGUUACUGGGCGUAAAGAGCGUGUAGGCGGUUGAAAAAGUCAGGUGUGAAAUUCUUCGGCUCAACCGAGGGACUGCGCCUGAAACUUUUCGACUGGAGUUCGGGAGGGGCAACUGGAAUUCCUGGUGUAACGGUGAAAUGUGUAGAUAUCAGGAGGAACACCCGUGGCGAAGGCGGGUUGCUGGACCGAAACUGACGCUGAGACGCGAAAGCGUGGGUAGCAAACAGGAUUAGAUACCCUGGUAGUCCACGCUGUAAACGAUGAGUGCUAGGUGUAGGGGGUAUCGACUCCUUCUGUGCCGCAGUUAACGCAUUAAGCACUCCGCCUGGGGGAGUACGGCCGCAAGGUUAAAACUCAAAGGAAUUGA
rnacentral:rRNA from 1 species